rnacentral:pre_miRNA from 1 species
ACCCUGUAGAAUCGAAUUUGUGUGAGAAUGUGAGGGUCACAAAUUCGUCUCUAGGGGGGU